rnacentral:rRNA from 1 species
GGGAACUCAGGCUAAUACCGCAUACGUCCUACGGGAGAAAGCAGGGGAUCUUCGGACCUUGCGCUAUCGGAUGAGCCCAUGUCGGAUUAGCUUGUUGGUGAGGUAAUGGCUCACCAAGGCGACGAUCCGUAGCUGGUCUGAGAGGAUGAUCAGCCACACUGGGACUGAGACACGGCCCAGACUCCUACGGGAGGCAGCAGUGGGGAAUAUUGGACAAUGGGCGAAAGCCUGAUCCAGCCAUGCCGCGUGUGUGAAGAAGGCCUUCGGGUUGUAAAGCACUUUCAGCGAGGAAGAACGCCUUGGGAUUAAUACUCCCGAGGAAAGACAUCACUCGCAGAAGAAGCACCGGCUAACUCUGUGCCAGCAGCCGCGGUAAUACAGAGGGUGCAAGCGUUAAUCGGAAUUACUGGGCGUAAAGCGAGCGUAGGUGGCUUGAUAAGUCAGAUGUGAAAUCCCCGGGCUUAACCUGGGAACUGCAUCUGAUACUGUUAGGCUAGAAUAGGUGAGAGGAAGGUAGAAUUCCAGGUGUAGCGGUGAAAUGCGUAGAGAUCUGGAGGNAAUACCGAUGGCGAAGGCAGCCUUCUGGCAUCAUAUUGACACUGAGGUUCGAAAGCGUGGGUAGCAAACAGUGAUUAGAUACCCUGGUAGUCCACGCCGUAAACGAUGUCUACUAGUCGUUGGGUCCCUUGAGGACUUAGUGACGCAGCUAACGCAAUAAGUAGACCGCCUGGGGAGUACGGCCGCAAGGUUAAAACUCAAAUGAAUUGACGGGGGCCCGCACAAGNCGGUGGNAGCAUGNUGGUUUAAUUCGAAGCAACNGCGAAGAANCCUUACCAGGCCUUNGACANUCCNAAUGAACUUUCUAGAGAUAGNAUUGGUGNCCUUCNGGGAACANUUGAGANCANGGUGCUGCAUGGNCUGUCGUNCAGCUCNGUGUCGUGNAGANUNGUUGGGUUANANGUNCCCGNUAANCGAGCGCNNAANCCCUUGNUCCUUAGUUANCCANNGCANCGUANAUGGNUGGGCACNUCUNAAGGAGANCUGNCCGGUGNAUAANACNNCNGGAGGAANGGNUGGGGAUGNANCGUCAAGUCAUCAUGGCCCUUACGGCCUGGGCUACACACGUGCUACAAUGGUCGGUACAAAGGGUUGCCAAGCCGCGAGGUGGAGCUAAUCCCAUAAAACCGAUCGUAGUCCGGAUCGCAGUCUGCAACUCGACUGCGUUGAAGUCGGAAUCGCUAGUAAAUCGUGAAUCAGAAUGUCACGGUGAAAUACGUUCCCGGGCCUUGUACACACCGCCCGUCACACCAUGGGAGUGGGUUGCACCAGAAGUAGCUAGUCUAACCUUCGGGAGGACGGUUUACCACGGUGUGAUUUCAUGACUGGGGUGAAGUCGUAACAAGGGUAACCAAAUCACUAG